GGGGUUGUGGCUCAGUGACAGAGCACUUUCCUGGCAUGUAUGAGGCCUGGGUUCUAUUCUCAGCACCG
rnacentral:tRNA from 1 species